UGGUCGCUAAUACCCCAUAUGCCGAGAGGUGAAAUGAAUUUUGCCUGAAGAUGAGCUCGCGUCAGAUUAGCUAGUUGGUGGGGUAAUGGCCUACCAAGGCGACGAUCUGUAGCUGGUCUGAGAGGAUGAUCAGCCACACUGGGACUGAGACACGGCCCAGACUCCUACGGGAGGCAGCAGUGGGGAAUUUUCCGCAAUGGGCGAAAGCCUGACGGAGCAAGACCGCGUGAGGGAUGACGGUCUAAUGAUUGUAAACCUCUUUUCUCUAGGAAGAUGAUGACGGUACUAGAGGAAUCAGCCUCGGCUAACUCCGUGCCAGCAGCCGCGGUAAUACGGAGGAGGCAAGCGUUAUCCGGAAUUAUUGGGCGUAAAGCGUCCGUAGGUGGUUUUACAAGUCAGUUGUUAAAGAGUGGAGCUUAACUCCAUAGAGGCGAUUGAAACUGUGGGACUAGAGUUAGGUAGGGGUUACGGGAAUUCCCAGUGUAGCGGUGAAAUGCGUAGAUAUUGGGAAGAACACCGGUGGCGAAAGCGCGUGACUGGGCCUUAACUGACACUGAGGGACGAAAGCUAGGGGAGCGAAAGGGAUUAGAUCCCCUGGUAGUCA
rnacentral:rRNA from 1 species